rnacentral:tRNA from 1 species
GCCUUCGUGGUGUAGAGGUCAGCACGCUCGACGCGUUACUGGGAUGUCCGUGGUUCGAUUCCCGGCGAAGGCG